rfam:Ailuropoda melanoleuca scaffold921_32, whole genome shotgun sequence.
ACCUGGCUGGCUCAGUCAGUAGAGCAUGUGACUCUUAGUCUUGGGGUUGUGAGUUCAAGCCCCAUGUUGGGUG